rnacentral:sRNA from 22 species
GCGUCCGGGUGUUGGGACGGCCCCCUGCCCUCUUGCCCCCGGCAGCUAGGCUGGCCUGGUGCGCCCUUGCCGAGUGAGGGCGCAAAGCCGACAGCCGUCGCACUCCAGGGAGCACAUCCAUG